CCAGACUCCUACGGGAGGCAGCAGUGAGGAAUAUUGGUCAAUGGGCGCGAGCCUGAACCAGCCAAGUCGCGUGAGGGAAGACGGUCCUAUGGAUUGUAAACCUCUUUUGUCGGGGAGCAAAAGACGCCACGCGUGGCGUUCCGAGAGUACCCGAAGAAAAAGCAUCGGCUAACUCCGUGCCAGCAGCCGCGGUAAUACGGAGGAUGCGAGCGUUAUCCGGAUUUAUUGGGUUUAAAGGGUGCGCAGGCGGUUUUUUAAGCCAGCGGUAAACUCGUGGGGCCCACCCCCGCCCCGCCGUUGAAACUGGCAGUCUCGAGUUGGAGAGAAGUAUGCGGAAUGCGCGGUGUAGCGGUGAAAUGCAUAGAUAUCGCGCAGAACUCCGAUUGCGAAGGCAGCAUGCCGGCUCCACACUGACGCUGAGGCACGAAAGCGUGGGUAUCGAACAGGAUUAGAUACCCCCGUA
rnacentral:rRNA from 1 species